rnacentral:lncRNA from 1 species
CACCGACCCGUCUCGGGGUGUUUUUUCCUGCUAGCCUGAAAGGUUUGGGCCCAGAAUCGCCCCCCGAGAUGGAUGGGGAAAUACAAGAUUGUAUGUGUAACUCCCACUCCACAGCAGAUACCUUCUUUGGUCAACAGCUUUGUUUGCAACAGCUUCCAAUCUGUGGAUGUCCCUCCUGACCAGCCAGCUUGCAAGAUUACUAUGUGA